rnacentral:rRNA from 1 species
GGGUCAGUAGGUUGGUCGUGCCACCGGUACGUACUGGUCUCACUGAUUCCUCCUUCCUGAAGAACCGUAAUGCCAUUAAUUUGGUGUUGCGGGGAAACAGGACUUUUACUUUGAAAAAAUUAGAGUGUUUAAAGCAAUCUAACGCUUGAAUACAUUAGCAUGGAAUAAUGAAAUAGGACGAUCGAUCCUAUUUUGUUGGUUUCUAGGAUUGACGUA